rnacentral:rRNA from 1 species
UACAGAGGGGGCAAGCGUUGUUCGUAAUUACUGGGCGUAAAGGGCGCGUAGGCGGCCUGUUAAGUCGAACGUGAAAUCCCCGGGCUCAACCCGGGAACUGCGUCCGAUACUGGCAGGCUUGAAUCCGGGAGAGGGAUGCGGAAUUCCAGGUGUAGCGGUGAAAUGCGUAGAUAUCUGGAGGAACACCGGUGGCGAAGGCGGCAUCCUGGACCGGCAUUGACGCUGAGGCGCGAAAGCCAGGGGAGCAAACGGG